UACGUAGGUGGCGAGCGUUGUCCGGAAUUACUGGGUGUAAAGGGCGUGUAGGCGGGGAUGCAAGUCAGAUGUGAAAUACCUAGGCUUAACCUGGGGACUGCAUCUGAAACUGUGUUUCUUGAGUGCUGGAGAGGAAAGCGGAAUUCCCAGUGUAGCGGUGAAAUGCGUAGAUAUUGGGAGGAACACCAGUGGCGAAGGCGGCUUUCUGGACAGUAACUGACGUUGAGGCGCGAAAGCGUGGGGAG
rnacentral:rRNA from 1 species